rnacentral:misc_RNA from 1 species
GUAGGUGAACCUGCGGAAGGAUCAUUAUCAUAACGUAUCCACGUAUAAACUAACUUUAAUUGAUGUGAAACGUAACUGUUUAACACCUUCGAUAGUUAAUUGAUUGCUGUACUCUCACAUGUGUUUGAUUAAAGCAUAUUGAGUAUGGACUUGGCUCACUUUCGGGUGAGACUAGCAUUAACUGUUGGAGUGUAAUUAACCUUUUAAUCAUUUAUUUACCCAUUGAACCGAUUAACUAUUAUUAAUAGUU